AUUUUAUGAUCUGUGUUGUAGUUCAGAAUCCAGAGGACGUUGUGCACCGGUACCGAGCUGUCCUAAAAGAGUUUAGGCGCACCAGGAGCAUGAGCCUGAGCUGUGAAGCACUGAACGUGGACAGGAACACAAUUGCCUUGACGGCCAUCAUUGCCGAAAUCUUUAUUGGCGCAGAAGAGAUGCAGUCAAAGCAGAAUUGCCCUCAGAGCAGUGUAGCGUCUUCACUACAAAACCGGCCAGGUUUUUUUUGGUUGUGGAUUCAGAUUGGAUCUUUGAUCGUCUGCAUCCUGCUCGCCCUCCCUGGAGGUCUGCAGCGGUGUACAGACUGGCGAGCUAACCCCCAUCGGAGCGAUCCUUAUGAACCCUGAACGGAAGGAGCAGGUGUUGUAGUUUCUGCAGUGUGAUUCAGGGAUGUUUUUUUUAAUUUGGUCAGAGGUGUUUUAAAUCCUGUUGUUUUGUGUCUUUUUGUUGUCCUUUUUGUUUUGUAAGGUUGGACUCUUUUCCAGAGUCUUUUUCUUUAUUUUUCCGGAAUAAUUAGAGGUUUCCUCGUUG
rnacentral:lncRNA from 1 species